UAAACGACUCUCGGCAACGGAUAUCUCGGCUCUCGCAUCGAUGAAGAACGUAGCGAAAUGCGAUACUUGGUGUGAAUUGCAGAAUCCCGUGAACCAUCGAGUCUUUGAACGCAAGUUGCGCCCGAAGCUUCUUGGCCGAGGGCACGCCUGCCUGGGCGUCACGCA
rnacentral:rRNA from 1 species